rnacentral:lncRNA from 1 species
GAGAAGUCGCCUUUCAAUUCACGGACCAUUUUGUUCGUACCCUCCACCCUAUUCAAAAUUUGAUCCUAAACAUCCUCGGUCUUGAACUUCUCGGGUUCAAUGGAGCUUGACUCUUUGUUCUUAACUCGAUCAUGGGGGGCACAUAGCAUUUAUAAUCACACUCUCUAUCCCUUCAAUCCCUAUCAUGCUCAUGGUUUAUCAAACCUUUAUUCCCACCUUGCCUUUGAUAGGCGGGGCGGGAACCCCCCAAAUAGUUUGCUAAAUACCAUUUCUCCUCAUAUCGGUGCAC